GGGGAAUAUUGCACAAUGGGCGAAAGCCUGAUGCAGCGACGCCGCGUGAGUGAAGAAGGCCUUCGGGUCGUAAAACUCUGUCCUAAGGGACGAUAAUGACGGUACCUUAGGAGGAAGCCCCAGCUAACUACGUGCCAGCAGCCGCGGUAAUACGUAGGGGGCGAGCGUUGUCCGGAAUUACUGGGCGUAAAGGGUGCGUAGGCGGCUCAUUAAGUCAGAUGUGAAAGGCUACGGCUCAACCGUAGUAAGCAUUUGAAACUGAUGAGCUUGAGUUAAGGAGAGGAAAGUGGAAUUCCUAGUGUAGCGGUGAAAUGCGUAGAUAUUAGGAGGAAUACCAGUGGCGAAGGCGACUUUCUGGCCUUUAACUGACGCUGAGACACGAAAGCGUGGGGAGCAAAC
rnacentral:rRNA from 1 species